CCACAAAUGUGUGUCCCUGAAUUCAUUUUUUUUUUUAAAUUUAGGAGGAAAUAAAAGUAACAUACAAGUUCAAUCAAUAUACAAUGUACACACAAAAAAAAUGUAAUAAUCGGCCUAAUGUUUAUCUAACGUCAAUAAUAUACACAAUACUGAAUAUAAAAUACAUUGAACUCCAUUGGAAUAGCUUUGAUGAGAAGCAACUCUGGGGUACCUUAAUAAAAGAGUUGGUGAUAAAUAAAUACGAAUAAAAAACAAAUGAAAUAAAUAACUGAAAAUAAAAUCCUUCUCAUUGACAUGAAAGACCUUCAAAAUCGACGGUAAUUUCUUCAUUAGCCAAUUUAAAUUAAUAAAAUAUCUUCUCUUCCCCCCAACAACUUCACUCCGGAGGAAUCGCAUAUUCUUAAGCGAGAAGAUCAGCCAAUGAUAAAUGAGAUUAGUGCACAGCAAUUGCAACAUAACAGAGCAUCACACUAAUUUUCCUAAUAUAAACGCUAAACAAUAAAAAUAUACGAGGACAAGGUAAAUAAUUUGCCGGAAGAAUUUCACAAAUAUGUAGAAUUAAUCUAAACAACUUAUAAAUAGUAAUUUAUUAAUAAAAGUGAAGCAAUUAAGAGUAAAUAAAACAAACAUAGAAUUUAUAGUCAUCAUUGAACCCAAAACAACUAAAUAAAUAAAUAACAUGGCGUGACAUCUAAAAUGGCUAAUCACUAAAAAAAACUAAAAUAUAUCAGAGAAUCAUGGAAAGGUUAAAAAAAUAUGAAGAAGAGCUGCCUCAAACAUGCAUCUAACAAUAAAAUAAUAUGUAAAAUCAUUAGUCAAUUUUUAUGCUUUUUUAAAAUCAAUUAGGAACAAAUGAAAUAUAAAACAUAUAAAACAACCAAAAAAAAAGGAAAUAACGUCAAUAAUGAACAAUGGCAACAUCAACAAAUAUUUAAAAACAAGAAAAAACUAUAGCUAAAAAAUCGUCUGUAAAAUAAAUUAUAUUAUAUCCUAAAUAAAUUGAGUAAUGAAAAACAUGAACAAAUAUUUAAAAACAAGAAAAAAUUAUAGCUAAACAUCGUCUGUAAAAUAAAUUAUAUUAUAUCCUAAAUAAAUUGAGUAAUGACAAACGUUUGUACAAUAACAACCACAAAAAUAGAGUUACUUGGAAAAGUAACUUCCAUAAUUAAAUAUUUAGCCAUCCAAAAAAUAAUAGAAUUAUAACUAAAGAUCAUUUAAAAAAAUAGAGUUAUAACUUAAUCUAAUUUUUUUAAAAAAAUUAUAACUAAAGCUUAACCAACAAAACAUCUAAUGGAGUUCACUGAAUAUGACAUUCUUCCGGGCCAGAACUAAAAUAAUACUAACAAAUAAUAAACCAUUUUGUAGCAAAUAACAAGAAAUAAAAGAUAAUCACAGUCUAAAAUGCAAAUCAAUAGUACAAAAGAAAGAAGAAAGAAGAAACAAGGAAAACAAAUCACCAAGCUUUGAACUAUUUAGCCGUAAAACAUUAAAAAGAGAAAUGGGAAAGAGAGUACAUACACUGAUUAUGGUGUCAUGGUUGUUUAGAUCUUUCUACUUGCUAGGUUUGCCAGAAACGUAAAUUUGAUUAGAUCUGGUCGUCCUCACAGUGGUCACUGCUUGUUGUUUCUACGUCGGAAGAAAGUGGGGAAUGGGGGUGUUGGGGCGAGACCUGGAUGGUGUUUGGACGCUAUUGUUGGCUGUUCAACUACUUCUUUGAUGGUUGUUUAAGUUGUUGUUUCGUCGCAGCCACAAGAAAAGAGGAAAGAGGAAAAAGGACGGCUUGAGUGUUUUGGGUAGUUUGGUUAGCUGUUUGGGGUCGGGUAUUUAAUCGAAAAUGGCGGAAAUUGAAGUGGUUGUUAUGGGUAGAGCAAUGGUUGUUUGAGCUAGUUUCUACUCAUCUUUGGCCAGUGGUUUUGGUUUUCAAAGAAAGAGAGGAGAAGAUGGAAAAAAAGGGUUGCUGGUUUAUCUCUGGUGGCGGAAGACUAAUCGAAAAAAGAAAAGAGAUGGCAUUGGGGUUUUGGGAGUGGUCGAUGUUCACUGGUAGAAAACAAUGAGGUUUUGGGUUGUUUUACAGAGAAGAGAAGAGGGUUUUGAGUGGUGGUAGUUCGCCGGAUUCCG
rnacentral:lncRNA from 1 species